GAUGAACGCUAGCGGGAGGCUUAACACAUGCAAGUCGAGGGGCAGCAUAGGGUAGCAAUACUCUGAUGGCGACCGGCAAACGGGUGAGUAACGCGUAUGCAACCUACCCUGUACAGGGGGAUAACCCGGAGAAAUUCGGACUAAUAUCCCGUAAUAAUAUCCGGAGGCAUCUUUGGAUAUUUAAAGUUCCGACGGUACGGGAUGGGCAUGCGUAACAUUAGCUGGUUGGUAAGGUAACGGCUUACCAAGGCUAUGAUGUUUAGGGGUCCUGAGAGGGUGGUCCCCCACACUGGUACUGAGACACGGACCAGACUCCGUACGGGAGCAGCAGUGAGGAAUAUUGGUCAAUGGGCGCAAGCCUGAACCAGCCAUCCCGCGUGCAGGAAGACGGCCCUAUGGGUUGUAAACUGUCUUUUCCAGGGAGAGAAACUUACGCACGUGUUGCGUGACUGACGGUACCCUGGGAAUAAGCAUCGGCUAACUCCGUGCCAGCAGCCGACGGUAAACGUAGCGU
rnacentral:rRNA from 1 species